GCCUCUCCCAGUCUGGAAAAACCACUUAACCUUUGGAACCUCGAGACUACAUACAAGAGAGCCACCCCUGGGAAGCUGUUCAGAUGGGAGGGUGACAGGAGGGGCCCUGGCUGUGGGCUUCCCUCGGGGCUCCCAGAGCCUCACCUGCGUAGGUGGUGCCAUCGAUGUCCACGGACAUGUUGAUGCUCCCGAUGCUGCCUGUGGCCAGGUUCAGCGCUGCGGCCGAGGCCUCUGUUCUGUCUUCUGCUAGGGACAAGGGAGACAGCGGGCCUGAUUAGGACUUCCAACACUGCAGUGUCCUCUCUGAGGCUCUCCCACUCUCCCGGACUGACCAGAGCAGGGUCACAGGCAGCCUGGCCCCUCCCGGAGGCUCCUGGAGGCUCAGAAUGGAGAUGCCAUCUUCCGCCCAGAUCUACAUCCGGGGAGGUACCAGGGUGAAGGCUGAGCCCUUUAAUUUAGACAGAUCAAAAGGCUGGCGAGGAAGAGAAACACAGCAGCUGUGCCCGAAGGUCUCUGGCUCCUCCCCCUUGAACAAAUGCUUUUCUUUUCUGACAGAGAACAGGGCACUGCCUGCAGCAGUUUUUAGUCAGCUUGGUGAAGGCAUAGAGAUACUUCAUGUACCUGGAGGAGAGGAAGCAAGCGAGGAGAAUAAUCCAAAACGGCUCCAGACGCCGCCCAGUGGAAGUUUCUGGGUCUCUGUGGGGCAGGCCUCUAGGACACAGGGUCACUUGGCAGAAGAGAAAGGUCCAGGGCCCGCCAGCUGCUACUCAACCCUGUCCUGAUCUCUGAUCCACUCAGAGGCACCAUUCUUUCAGGGAAAUAAAGCACAUCUCCACUCA